GGCCGCGCCGGCUCGCCGCUCCCGGUCCGUCGGCGCCCGGCAAGCGCGGCGCUCACGGAAGGGCGGUGGCAGCGCCCUCUGCUUUUCUUCUCACUUUCUCGGCGGUUCUGCCCCUGAAGUUGAACGCGGAUUAAAGGGCAGCAAUACCUUGUGUUAAGAGAAGAAAAUGUGGGAGCCAAAUGGGACUGAGAGGGAGAGAGGCGAGCGGGAGGCCAGAGAACGAGGGAGCAAGUUGGCUCCGCUGGGCUGGGGACGGAGGGUCCUUUGGGGCGGAGUUUCACGUGAGGAGUGCACGCAGGGGCUGGGACGUGUAAAGACAAGGUGGCCUGGACAUCGGAGUCCCAGGCAAAAGAAAAGUGUAUGGUACUUAUGCUGCCAGAAACGAUGGCCAAGGUUUUGUUUCUCACCUUUCCGUCUGCAGACCAGUGGAUCCCGAUCAUGUAAGUCUGUAUUAUUCCCAAUUUGCACUCGAGGACACUGAGGCAAGGAUAGGCUAAAUGACUUGGCCUGGCCACACAGCUCUUAGCGGCCGACCCAGGACUCAAACCCACAUCUCUCUGACUCCAAACCCAUAGUAUUUGCUGGUGUAAGACAGAUGGUCCCACCUUAGCACAGAUUGAACCCACACCUUGUUUGGAGGACAAGCAGAUAGAUUUGCAGGUAGGUAUGUGCUCUGAAUUCUUUCAGGCUCGUAUUUCACAAUGGACAUAAUCAGUGCAUCUUCACCCCCGAGGAUGUUAAGGAAGCCUGUCAUUAGCAGGAAUCUCUGAAUUCCUAAACCCUUGCCAGAGUGAGUCCUUAAGGAGCUGUUGUCUCCAGUGAACCCAAGUCUCUUUGUGGCCUGUUAGGGAAAUUCCCUGGGCCCUAGGCUGGUAUCUCUGUGCAAAAUUAUUGGACUAUCCAAUAGGAUUUUUAAAACCCCCCAAAGUCCCAUUCUUCUACAAAUGAAAUAGACAAAAGUAAAGAGGGAAAGACCAGCAAAACAAGCUAAACUUGAAGGUUUCAUGGGACUUCUUGCAACCUACACAGAAAUCUCUGCUGGGCUGUGAAGAACCGCUGGGAAAAACUGGGAUUCUCAGCCCCUUUGGUAUUUUUUACAAGAUACUUACUCUGGAGCCUAGGGAGGUGGGUGCCUGGGUGGUGAUGGUAAUGGGACAUGGGGGUCCUCUAAGAAUGUGGGUCUCUUUCCUGUUUAUCCUCAGCAAAUAAAAAACACACCUGGUUCUCUUAGGCUCUUCAGUAGUUUCUCUUCAGAAGAUUUCAAGAUACCAGUAAGGAUUUUGUUUUUGCUUCCAUUACUGCUUUAAUUCUACUUAAUGUCUACACACUCAUAAGUCACCAGAACACACCCUAAUCCUCACCCAAAAAACGAGAUCAAGAUUCGACAAGCCUAGCCAUCUAAGAAAAUCAGUGGGAAGCCUGCUUCUCAAUUAUAAUGUUUUACAUGAGGUCCAAUACGGUGCAGGGGGAUUGCUGUUUAAGAAGCGCUGUAGAGUAGUACCUCCGUGUGCCAUCUGAUGGCUCAUUUAUUACUAAACCUCAUAUAGCUCCCCUACUGAUGAUGAAAUUCCCCAGAGGAGCAGUAGCAAGUUCUCCUCCUGGUUAUCUUUCUUCCAUAUUUACAGGUUAAGAACUGAAGCCACCAAGAAGGGGCUUAGCACAACCUGACACCCAAGCCUUAUGUUUUGGGGUGGACGGAUGCCCUCGUGGGUCUGCGGCUAAUUAGGCAGACAGUCAAGCGAGGAAGGGAGCCGGUUCCAUGGGCUUGCAUGGGAAUAGCCGUGAACCCCUGCAAUGGCAGGGGCUUCUGUUUCCAGGCACCUGUUCCAAGGCAGAAUUGGGCCAUUUUCUCCAGGUGGGCCAAUUUCCAUAGUCUUUUCGUCAUGACAGCCCACAGGGGCCUAAGGUCAGGCUUUCCUUGUAUGGAGGAGGAACCCCCCGCCUCUCCAGAGGGUGGUCGGGGAACCUCCUCCUUCCUGCUAGUACCCUGAAGAGAAGAGACUCAGGUGAGUUAAUUGACUCUGACAGCCCACCGCCCUAAGCCAGUGCGGUUGGCUCCUGAGCAGCUUCCUCAUCUGGUCUUGGAGCCCUUUGCUACUUGUGGGUGCCCCUGUGCACCUCACUCCCAGGGCAUGGCUGCUACUGCGGUGCCCCGUGCCCCAGACCGUUCCUGGCGAUCGUGCUGGAGACCAUUCCAGAUACAGUUCCGAGGCAAUCUGGCGGCAAGUCUGGGCUGAGAUGCUGUGUUAGAAACCAUGGGCAGUGUAGAUGUUUGCCUUUUGACUGAGACCAUCUACAGACCGUGCAUCGCUCCCAGGGCUGGCUCUGGGACAGGGAAGCUGUGGGCCUUUGCUGUGGCAGAACAGUGAGGUAGGUACUCAGGGUUUUCAGCGCCUCUUAAAUCAUCCCGAGCGAGCCACUUACUUCCCCACGCACGGGCUGCCGCUGGCUCCGUCACAAGAAGAUGAACUACAAGUAAUAAAAUCAAGAUGAAGUUCUGUGUAAAUCUUUCCAGCUCACAAAGAUGGUAGAAAGUUUAAGAUGAAAGGACUGUUAAAGACCAUCUACUUCAACCUCCUCAUUCCGAGGCUGUGAAAACCCAGGCCCAGGGAGGCGUGUUGAUGACCCGACCAUCACACAGCGGCUCCGGCUCCCGGGCGGGAGCUGCAUCAGCUUUCCGUGGCUGCGGCGUGACAUCCUUGCCAUCCCACUAGUCCUAGAGCGUCUUUCGACUUUUGCAAACAGACUCGAUGCAGAAAGCGAGGCCCUGCUGCAAACCUACAAGAGUAAAGCCUCUGGGAGCUUCUCAGAUACUGAAGGAGCUAUGUCAUGGACGAGGCUUUUCCUGUGUGGCCGGGCUAGAGGGACGAGUGGAUGCUGAGGACAGAAGCUUCGAGAAUCUCAGGCUCUGGGUGAUCAAUGUGUGAUUACGAAUUGAAUUGAAUGCAACAACGAGGAAUGUGUCAGCUGGAUGAAUCAUGACCCUUAUGCACCCCCAAGGAUAUGGGAACUGGGCUACAAGGACAGACCGCAGCCGGCUCCAAGUCACGUGCCCCGGUCACGUGGUGCGGAGAGACAGAAACCGGCUGGCAAUCAUUAACUAAUGGUUACUCCUGGGGAGAAAAUGAAGGUUUUAAAGACACGAACUCUCUUUUUGUAAAACAACCGGGACUGCAAUAGAAGGACUUUGCAAACUCGCCCAGCGUAGCUCCUUUCUCCAAACCGGGAGGCGCGGCGGCUGCAGCUGCCCGGCCCCGAGCAGAGGGACGUGCAGGCGGACUGGGUUCUGGGUCCCGCGCUCCAGAGAUGGAGGACAGCAUUCUGAAAGGAGCAGAAAGCCCCAUUUUUCUUCCUUGUGAAAUUCAGGCUUCUGGGUAGAUGGAGUUCUGGGAGGGGGGAGGGGUGGCGAAAGGCACGGAGACUUUGCGGGCUCUUCUGAAGUUUUUAUCAACAUGAAAACCCGCAUCCAGAAUGUGGCUCCUUUAAAUCUUACUGCGGUGAGAACAGAAACUGCAAGGACUCUGCCUACCUGAGUGUUUCCUGAUUCAGUCGUUUGAAUUUAGAAAGAGGUUCUUUCACUUUCUGGAACUUGUGUAGUGUUACUUUGUGCUUUCAAAAACUGUAAUUGUCAAGCUGGGUUUGUUUGAUUUUAGUGUAGAAGCAACAAUAGGGGGAGUGAAUAGAGUUUAGAAUCUUGGCUGGAGAGAAAGGAUAGCUAAAUCCAGAUGAAAGGUCCAGGCAGAAACUGACAACACUUUUUUUUUUUAACCUACAUGUGUUUUAUUUCACAGUAUACAUAGAGGACUUUCCAAAACACUGUGCAAUAUGGACUUAGCCUUAGAAGAAAAUCCACUGACGUAGUCUGGAGCCUUAUAUUCUUAUUUCACUUAACUCUUUCCAGAAGGAACAGAUACACAAAGUUUCCAAUUUUCUAUUCACUGAAUCACGGAAAUAUAAUUAUUUCAGGACAUUUAGUAGUUAGGGAGUUUAGUGGUCUCCCUCUUUACCUUUACCCCACUCUGCUCUCUUCAGAAAGAUACAAGCAUGUGACCUAAAGGGGAGGAUCCAGGUUUUGUAGGACCUGAAACUUUUACAAUUUGGGAGGCCUUUUUAAAGCGAGUAGAAAGUUAUAGAGAAAAUUAGAUAUUAAAAUAUCACAAAAUUCACUUCUAAAAUCCUUUUAGCCUGCAUUUUGGGGUGCAUUUUCUUUGAUGGUCUCGUAUUCUUGAAAGGAGAGAACUGUCUUUUUGACCACAUAGUCAGUUUUAAGUGUGCCUACAAUUGUGUGAGUUUGAUGGUGAAGCACUUUCUUCCAGA